GGCUUCUUUAAAUAAGCGAGCUAUGGCGAGGAGAAAUGGGCUCCCCGUUGCUGCUCUAACCGUACUCCAGUUGAUCUAUUAAUAAUCUUGAUUGCCACCAUCCAUAUCCUGCAAAUGGUUUGGAUCGUUGCAGGAAGACCUGGCCCUAUUUACCUCCCUAACACUCCAGUUGCUGGCCCACGCAAACACAGAUUUUUGCCUCCAACUUGUGACGUUCGUUCACUCGGCUGUGACAUUGACCCGUGAUCAUGUGAGCAAAAUAAACCGUAAGAGAGUCUGAAGAUUCAAAUCAGGCCGUUAAUGACUAA